AUGGCGGCCCGUACCCUAAACCGACUCAGGUGGUCUGGUAGAGAAUACCGAGGCGUUCGGGUGAACUAUGGUUAAGGAACUCGGCAAAAUGCCCCCGUAACUUCGGGAGAAGGGGGGCCACGUCCGGUGAGAGCACGUGCUGCUUGAGCUGGGGGUGGCCGCAGAGACCAGCGAGAAGCGACUGUUUACUAAAAACACAGGUCCGUGCGAAGCCGUAAGGCGAUGUAUACGGACUGACGCCUGCCCGGUGCUGGAACGUUAAGGGGACCGGUUAGCUCCAUUUCGGUGGGGCGAAGCUGAGAACUUAAGCGCCAGUAAACGGCGGUGGUAACUAUAACCAUCCUAAGGUAGCGAAAUUCCUUGUCGGGUAAGUUCCGACCUGCACGAAUGGCGUAACGACUUCUCGACUGUCUCAACCAUAGGCCCGGUGAAAUUGCACUACGAGUAAAGAUGCUCGUUUCGCGCAGCAGGACGGAAAGACCCCGGGACCUUUACUACAGUUUGAUAUUGGUGUUCGGUUCGGCUUGUGUAGGAUAGCUGGGAGACUGUGAACUCUGGACGCCAGUUCAGGGGGAGUCGUCGUUGAAAUACCAGUCUGGUCGUGCUGGAUGUCUAACCUGGGUCCGUGAUCCGGAUCAGGGACAGUGUCUGAUGGGUAGUUUAACUGGGGCGGUUGCCUCCUAAAGGGUAACGGAGGCGCCCAAAGGUUCCCUCAGCCUGGUUGGCAAUCAGGUGUUGAGUGUAAGUGCACAAGGGAGCUUGACUGUGAGACCGACGGGUCGAGCAGGGACGAAAGUCGGGACUAGUGAUCCGGCGGUGGCUUGUGGAAGCGCCGUCGCUCAACGGAUAAAAGGUACCCCGGGGAUAACAGGCUGAUCUUCCCCAAGAGUCCAUAUCGACGGGAUGGUUUGGCACCUCGAUGUCGGCUCGUCGCAUCCUGGGGCUGGAGUCGGUCCCAAGGGUUGGGCUGUUCGCCCAUUAAAGCGGUACGCGAGCUGGGUUUAGAACGUCGUGAGACAGUUCGGUCCCUAUCCGCUGUGCGCGUAGGAGUCUUGAGAAGGGCUGUCCCUAGUACGAGAGGACCGGGACGGACGAACCUCUGGUGUGCCAGUUGUUCUGCCAAGGGCAUGGCUGGUUGGCUACGUUCGGGAGGGAUAACCGCUGAAAGCAUCUAAGCGGGAAGCCUGCUUCGAGAUGAGGACUCCCACCCACUUGAUGGGGUAAGGCUCCCAGUAGACGACUGGGUUGAUAGGCCGGAUAUGGAAGCACGGUAACGUGUGGAGUUGACCGGUACUAAUAGGCCGAGGGCUUGUCCUCAGUUG
rnacentral:rRNA from 1 species